UUCCAAAGAACAUCCCAUACAUUCAUGCUGUGAAAUAGCUUACAAUAAGCACUUGAAGAACAAGACAUCUAUAGAAAUUGAUUUGGAACAACUUCGAAGAGAAACUAAAUGGAAAGAAACUGAAUAGUGUAUCACCAGUGGAAUCAUCUUACUGAGGGGAUGAGGCUGGAAUUGUGGGCACUGGCUGUUUUGACUUUGACUAGAGGUAAAAACACAGUGCUGAAUUCGUCAUUACUGUUGCUGCCUCCUGAGAAGUUAAGUGACAAGGAGCACUGGUCUCCCGCAUCCUUAUCCUCCAGAGUGUGCUCUGGUUGUCAGGACCUGGCACUUAGGUGGGUUCAGUCAAGACGACUUUGCCUUCCUCUUCCUGCUAACAGCUGCACUGGAGCCGCCUUCGCCGUGGAUGCUGCCCCUCUCCUUGGAGAGUCACCAUCGUUCAGCAUCGCAGAGCACCCAUCAGCCCAGGAAAUUCCAAGGAAUUUAGGAGCUAUGUGCCAGGAACUCAGAGGAAGACCAAAGGUAUGUAUUUUUGUUUUGUUUUUUAAAUUUUUAUUUAUUUAUUUAUUUUUGGCUGCGUUGGGUCUUCGUUGCUGCACGCAGGCUUUCUCUAGUUGCGGCGAGUGGGAGCUACUGUUUGUUGCGGUGCGAGGGCCUCUCAUCGCGGUGGCUUCUCUUGUUGCGGAGCAUGGGCUCCAGGCGCGCGGGCUUUAGUAGUUGUGGCAUACGGGCUCAGCAGUUGUGGCUCACAGGCUCUAGAGCGCAGACUCAGUAGUUGUGGCGCACGGGCUUAGUUGCUCCACGGCAUGUGGGAUCUUCCCGGACCAGGGCUCGAACCCGUGUCCCCUGCAUUGGCAGGCGGAUUCUUAACCACUGCGCCACCAGGGAAGCCCCAAAGGUAUGUUUUUUAUUAUCGAUCACAAUAUCGUACUACUGCUUUGAAUUUUCUUAUACAUGCCUUUUCAUGAAUAUGUGCGAGCAUUUUUGUUAAGUAUAUUUCUAGGAGCGAAGCUGCUGGAUCAGAGAAUAUACAUAUGUCCAGCUUUCACAGAUGAUGCCAAACAGUCUUCCAAAGUUGUACAAUUUGUAUUCCUACCAGCGGGGUAUGAGAGUUCUGAUUGCUCCACAUCCUUGUCAACACUUGGUAUUGUCUUCUGUUUUCAUUCUGGCCAUCCUGGUGGGUAGAUAGUAGUGUUGCAUUGUUGUUUUCAUUUGCAUUUCCCUGACGGCUAAUGAAGUUAAGCAUGUUUUCAUAUGUUUAUUGGU